GGUUCCCAUGUUUGUGCAUUAUGCAUGUCUGCAAACUAUGCAAGCAGUAUUGCUUUAAGAUUAGAUCAGAGCACCUGGCAACUGGACAGGAAAGUCGAAUUUGGGCAAAAAGUCCAUUAUUGCAACAGAAUUUUGGAAAUCAGCUAAAACUUACAAAAACAGCCUCCCUCCUUUUUUUCUUUCUUAAGACUACAACUCAUAUUGCUCUUGCACUAGUAUUCAAUAAUAAAUCAGUUAUUUA